AAAAAGUUGCUUUUGGCGUCAGUGACAGUAAAGAAAGAUUUGUUUUUCCUGGCUUCUGGCUAGACUUACAUGGAGAUACUAACACACUUUGGCAGGCUCCUUUCCAGUUGUUUGCUAUUAGCAGUUCAAAGCACCAUGCCAAUUGUGAUUAAGUAAGCACCUACCAGACACAGAUUGUGAGAACAUAACACAGAAAGCACCUACCAGACACAGAUUGUGAGAACAUAACACAGAAAGCACCUACCUGACACAGAGAAUGACAAUGCCUAUAAGUCCAAGGCAGAUGACAAUUCCCACAGCAACUCCCAGACCAACUAUCAGCAAAACUGCAGUAAACAUAAAAUAUAUAAGAACUGCUUCAGGCCACAGCGAAUGGAGUCAUUUAUGAUUGAUGCAAGAAAUGGAAGUAAAGUCAAUGAGAAAUGAUAUGAAAGUUUUAUCAUGAUGUCAAGCAAGAUCCACAACUUGCCCUAGAUUCAACCAUUAGCCAGUUUCAGACAGUGAAAACAACAAAUAAAAAUCUCCCUAUUCAGAGAUGAAGGCAGAGUGCUGCAGAUAACCUUAAUUUGAUCUCUGAAAUGUUCUUCUCAAGUAAACAACAUCUCAACAUGAUACAGAUGGUGGAGGCAUGGUACUUCUGUGCAGGACAUGGACCAACAGCUUUGCGGGCCAAGUGAUUUGACUACAACAGGAAAGAUCACUCACCUCUCUACCUAUACUCAGCUUACCUGGCUGUUGAAGAUAUGAAGAAGCUCAUCAACUUACCUGUUACCAUGGAAACCAAGAACACCCAAAUAUUUGUCAAGAAAUACAAUUUACAACUGAACUCGCCCAGCGUGAGAUGCUCUGAAACUAUAAAUAGUAACAGUCAGUUGCUGUGGAGGCUGCACCUGGAUGGCUCAUCAAUAUUCAUGAGCUACAGGACCUGAGCUGGUUGUUCAGUAUGAUAAAAAUAAGAUAGAAAAAUUGAAGUCAUCUUCCAAGUUUGAAGAGAAUCUGCAAGAUAUCAAUUUCCAAAUUACAAGACAACCCAUACAACUGAUAAGGAAAAUCCUGAUACCAAGAAGAAGUGUAGAGGUGAUGGAGCCACUUGGAUUUAAACAGAUCUUGAAACCUUUAACCUUUUAGCCUUCACCUGGCAAAAAUUUGAUGUAAGACCAAACCAGAAAGUUCGUUACAUAUAUUUCCUGUACCUGAGAUCUUGAAGAAUCAUGCUUCCAAACACGUACUGGUCUUUCAAGAUGAUUGGAGUAAUU
rnacentral:misc_RNA from 1 species